CCAGGCACAGUUUGUGCUCCCUCGGGAUCCCCCUUCUUCCCACUUCUGUGCAUUCCUCUCUCAGCUCUGCUCUGUGAGUCUUCCUUUCUAAUGGCCUGCAGCUGUAACUGGAAGACUGCCCUAAAGAUACUGGAGCAGUUCUCUCUUGCAUGCUCAGAUUGCUAGAAGUACCUAGGAAUUUAUAUUCCUCCAGGGUUAGAAGGUGGGAGGAGAAUGGAACUCUCAAGAAAGUCACCCCAAGAUCUUUGGAUAUUUUUCUGAAAAAAAAAAUCAAUUCAUAAGCUUACAGUAAACCAAACCUGUAUUUCUUAUCUGAAACA